AGCGGGACAUUUGAUUUACUCUCAGCGGAAUUGACCGGAGAAGGCAUCAGGUCAUGCACUGCGCUGGCCUGCACCACGAUUAGUAUAAGGCACAUUUCACGAAGCAGAACGCAGUCUCAGAGAUAUCCACGUGAACGCUGUGAUACGUCUGACCUUCAGUCCGAAGAAGAAACCCAGACCAGUCUUAAAAGAAAGCACAAACCAAAUCCCCUGUACACAUAUACGGACUCAGAGGAUGAGCAGCCUACAAAAAAACGGUUUCCCCAGGCCCCUCGAGUGAAAAUACCAGGUAAUAAAAUACUGUCUAGUGUCUGUGUACAUAUCUGUGUCUGACACGAGGAAACUUUUUUGACAAGUUGUCUGUAUUCUUAAAUACUUAAAAAAUUAUCUUUUUCUAAACAGCCCUCAUCACUCCGCAGUCUGCCCCCCAGCCCACUGAUAGCAACCAUCAUAAUGCCCCACCCAGCUUCCGGCACCUUUCGCCACUCCGGCACAAACCGACACAGCUUUGCGAUCUCGCCAGCAUGCAGAGUCUGAUGUCUUCCCUAUAGAUGGUAUGCUUUCAAAAAAGCUUUAAAGCUGCAUCACAAUGUCAUUGUACUCUUAUCUAAAAAAAAAACCCCAAUUUAUACUCCUGAAUGUCAUCUUGUUGUGAUUUUUUUUUUUUUUUUCUGUAGAUUCCAGAGACUCUGUGAGGCCACUAUUACAAGGCAAGUUUGAAAAUCUUGGAAUUUCACAGUUUACAUGGUAUAACAAAUAUAUGUGACAGGCAAAAACUAGUAAACACUUUUAGCAGUUACAAGAACUAACAAAUGAAUAUCCAACAAAAGGGAAUAGAAAUACAUUGUACUGCCAAUACUUUGGUUUAUUCUUUGUAUGACUUGAAAAUCAGGCUUUAGGGAAAACUAAAUGACAUGUUUCUAUCAUCAAUUACAUGAAGUAAACACACAAGCACUUGCAUACACAUUUAAGACAUGAGACACGCUAAUUCCAUCUCAUAAAAUGUGUCUAUAGGUGAGACGCUUUGCGUUGAUUGGUGCUGCUGGACCACACUGGAGGUGCGAGUCCACCGUGUAAUGGUUUAUGCCAUUACAAAGGAGCUGGCCUCUGUACUCAACUGGGCAGGGGAAAAAAAACCAAGGACCAGACAAAGCAAAAAAGGGCAUUUAAAGAGACAGCGCUGUGCAGAUGCAUAUUUG
rnacentral:lncRNA from 1 species